rnacentral:lncRNA from 1 species
GGCUUUGAGGGAAGGAUGGAGAGACAAGCUAUGAGAAGAAGCUGGAUACGAAGGAUAAAUGGAUCAACAAUUUUGUUUACUCUUUUAAACAUACUGCCUAUUUUGAAAAAAGUACAAAAGCUAAAGCUAAAAUUUAUUCCUUUUUUAAAUUUUUAUUUCUUUCAGGGGCCAGGGGCGGGCACAGGGCCGGGCUUCGUGCGGUGGGGCUCGCUCGCGCGGCAGCG